rnacentral:lncRNA from 1 species
ACACAAUGUUGCUAGGGGUCAGGAUGGUGUUAAAAAGUGUGGUUGCUUUGACAUGGACUGUUGUGUUCGGAGUGUUCUAUGGGAGGAUAUGGAGCGCAAAGAAUUCUGCUGGGUCAUGGUCUGAUGAGGCGAAUAGUAGAAUUGUGACCUUUCUUGAGGCUGUCUUUGUGUUUGUUAUCCCUGAGUUGCUGGCUUUGGUGUUUUUUGUACUUCCUUGGAUUAGGAAUGCCCUUGAGGAAUUGGACUGGAGUAUUUUGUAUGUGUUCACAUGGUGGUUUCAUACUCGGAUUUUUGUGGGGCGUGGGCUGAGGGAAGGGCUUGUUAAUAACGUUAAGUAUACCUUGUUUUGGAUUGCAGUAUUGACUUCAAAAUUUAUAUUCAGCUAUUUCCUUCAAAUCAAGCCAAUGGUUACUCCAACAAGGUUUCUACUGAAUCUUAGAAACGUGACUUAUAAUUGGCAUGAAUUUUUUGGUAGUAGUAACAGAAUCGCAGUUGUGUUGAUUUGGUUGCCAGUUCUUUCAAUAUUUUUUAUGGAUUUGCAAAUCUGGUAUUCUAUAUUCGCUUCAUUUGUUGGUGCAACAACUGGGCUGUUCUCACACUUGGGUGAAAUUAGGAACAUUGGACAGCUUCGGCUUAGAUUUCCAUUCUUUGCCAGUGCUUUGCAGUUCAAUCUCAUGCCUGAAGAGCAGUUGCUUGGUCCUAAAAUGACGCUUGUGAAGAAGCUCCGAGAUGCAAUCCAUAGAUUGAAAUUAAGAUAUGGGCUUGGUCAGCCGUACAAAAAGAUUGAAUCAAGCCAAGUGGAGGCGACCAGAUUUGCCUUGAUAUGGAAUGAGAUCAUCACAACUUUCCGAGAAGAAGAUAUCAUCAGUGAUAGAGAGCUUGAGCUCUUAGAACUGCCACCUAAUUGUUGGAAUAUCAGAGUUAUUCGCUGGCCGUGUGUGUUAUUGUGCAAUGAGUUAUUGCUUGCUCUCAAUCAGGCAAUAGAGCUGGCAGAUGCACCUGACAGGUGGAUUUGGUUAAAAAUUAGCAAUAAUGAGUAUAGGCGGUGUGCUGUAAUUGAAGUCUACGAUAGCAUUAAGUAUUUGCUUCUCACAGUUGUCAGACAGGGAACAGAAGAAUAUUCAAUUGUUCUAAAAAUUUUUGAAGAGAUAGACAACAGCAUUCAGUUCGAGAAGGUCACUGAGGCUUACAAUUUGGAAAUACUAGAACGUCUUCAUUCCAAGUUAAUAUCACUUGUUGAUCUUUUGAAGGGACAGAAGAAGGACAUAAGUAAGAUGGUCAAUAUAUUACAGGCAUUAUAUGAGCUUUAUGUUCGAGUACUCCCAAGGGGACCGAAAAAAUCAAUUGAGCAAUUGAGGCAGAAAGGUCUAGCCCCAGAGAGUCAAUUGAGCAAUGAUGAAUUACUCUUUGAGAAUGCUAUUCAGUUUCCAGAUACUGAAGAUGAAUUAUUCAACAGGCAUUUACGGCGUUUGCACACAAUUCUUACCUCCAAAGAUUCCCUGAUUUUGUUUUUGCAGGCUAGUCUAAUUGUUGCUUGGGAUGGUACUGACCAUCCGUGGCAGGCAUUGAAGAAACGUGAUGUACAGGUUGAGUUGUUGACAUGUUUUAUCACCUGGGGUGGGCUUAGAUUUCUACAGUCUAUUCUUGAUGCUGGGACUCAGUAUAGUUUGGUUUCGAGGGACACAAUGUUGCUAGGGGUCAGGAUGGUGUUAAAAAGUGUGGUUGCUUUGACAUGGACUGUUGUGUUCGGAGUGUUCUAUGGGAGGAUAUGGAGCGCAAAGAAUUCUGCUGGGUCAUGGUCUGAUGAGGCGAAUAGUAGAAUUGUGACCUUUCUUGAGGCUGUCUUUGUGUUUGUUAUCCCUGAGUUGCUGGCUUUGGUGUUUUUUGUACUUCCUUGGAUUAGGAAUGCCCUUGAGGAAUUGGACUGGAGUAUUUUGUAUGUGUUCACAUGGUGGUUUCAUACUCGGAUUUUUGUGG